AACAAACAAACUACUCGUCUUGUCGUGCACAGCCGUCACCAACACCAUCAGCUCUCGCUUGCCUUCUCAUCGGCCUUGACCUCCUCGCUCUCCUCGGCGCCGGGCGUGGGUUCCUCCUCCUUGAUCUCCGGCUCGACGGGGACCUGCGUGCAGGUGACGUGCACGAGAUUACAGAAGAAUCGAACGAGAAGAGACGACGCUAUCGAGCGCAGAGCAUCCACUUCUUCUUACCUCGAUGGCCUCCACGGCGUCGGGAGUGAGAGGGAGGUUGCCCUGCGGGAUCCCGGGAGCCUGGCCGUCAACGUCCUUCGGUUUGCUCGCACAGCCACCCAUGGUUGAUUUGCUCGUGUGACGCUGUGGCUGGCGGUGUUAGCGUGUGGGAAUGUACUGCCAAGGAGAGGAGGUGAGGUGGAGAAGACCACCACAUAACGCUACAUGUACAUUGGGGAUGGUGAGUUGGUGUCCAUGACCAUGUUGAGGGAGGAAGGGAUGGCGCAAAAG
rnacentral:lncRNA from 1 species